rnacentral:rRNA from 1 species
AGCGAACGCUGGCGGCAGGCCUAACACAUGCAAGUCGAACGAACUCUUCGGAGUGAGUGGCGGACGGGUGAGGAACACGGGGGAACGUGCCAUUUGGUGCGGAAUAACCCAGGGAAACUUGUUCUAAUACCGAAUGUGCACUUCGGGGGAAAGAUUGAACGCCAUUAGAGCGGCCCGCGUCUGAUUAGCUAGUUGGUGAGGUAACGGCUCACCAAGGCGACGAUCAGUAGCUGGUCUGAGAGGAUGACCAGCCACACUGGGACUGAGACACGGCCCAGACUCCUACGGGAGGCAGCAGUGGGGAAUCUUGCGCAAUGGGCGGAAGCCUGACGCAGCCAUGCCGCGUGAAUGAUGAAGGUCUUAGGAUUGUAAAAUUCUUUAACCGGGGACGAUAAUGACGGUACCCGGAGAAGAAGCCCCGGCUAACUUCGUG